GGUCCUGUAGUGAAGUGGUUAACACGUUUGCUUUACACGCAAAAGAUCCUGAGUUCGAAACUCAGCGGGACCA
rfam:Selaginella moellendorffii unplaced genomic scaffold SELMOscaffold_3, whole genome shotgun sequence.